rnacentral:rRNA from 1 species
UAAAGUCUGGCCUGCCCACUGAUUAAAUUAAAGAGCCGCAGUAUUUUGACUGUGCGAAGGUAGCAUAAUAAAUUGUCUUUUAAAUAAAGGCUUGAAUGAAAGGUUGGACAAAGUAUCAUCUGUUUCUUAAAUAUUUAUUGAAUUUGACUUUUAAGUGAAAAGGCUUAAAUAAAUCAAAAAGACGAUAAGACCCUAUAAAGC